rnacentral:tRNA from 1 species
GGGAAUGUGGCUUAGUGGUAGAAUGCUUGUCUUGCAUACAGGAAGUCCUGGGUUCGAUUCCUCAGUACCA